AUGAGGAACUUGCCUUGGCUAGUGGCAGGUGAUUUCAAUGAAAUUCUGCAAGUAAAUGAAAAAGAGGGUGCUGCUGUACCAUCCCAAAGGAGCAUGCAAUUGUUCAGUGAGGCACUUUCUGAUUGCGGCCUAGACGAUCUUGGGUGCGCGGGUGAUUUGUUUACAUGGCGUCGAGGUCAGUUACGCGAGCGUUUGGACCGCGCAGUGGGAAAUAUGUUGUGGGUAGACUUGUUCCCAGGUUUUGUUGUGUUUAAUGAGGACUUUGAUAAGUUAGACCAUCGUCCAGUUUUGAUUGAUACUGAUUACCAACCGGCGAUCCAGCCUAGGGGUCCUUCCAAAACACGCAAAUUUGAGGCACGGUGGUUAGCAGAGGAAGAUAUUGAAACUGUAGUCCAAACGGCUUGGGAUAAAUGUAAGCAGAUUGGUGUUGUUCCACUAGCGGACAACACAGCUGAGGUUCACAGGGCGUUGCACCGCUGGGAUAAGGACGUCCUCAAGGGGCCCCGCAAUAAACUCCGAGAGCUUCAGAAGGAAUUGAACGAAGUUCUUUCUGGCCAUUUGUCUGAUGAGGCCGUGGUUAGGCAACAUGAUUUACAUAUGCAAAUUGAGAAGCUUCUGGAACAGGAGGAAAUAUAUUGGCUCCAACGGGGUAGAGCAGACUGGCUCACUCGAGGAGACCGGAAUUCAGAUUUUUUUCACAGGGCUGCUAAUGGUCGUCGGAAGAAAAAUUCCAUCAAACGUAUACAACGAGAGAAUGGUGAUUGGAUAGAUGAUCAGGAGGAUAUUAGAGCGUAUGCAGCGACUUAUUUUUCCUCUCUUUUUACUUCAGGUUAG
rnacentral:rRNA from 1 species